GCUGAUUCUAGUACGAGAGGACCGAAUUGGACGAACCUCUGGUGUUCCGGUUGUCACGCCAGUGGCAUUGCCGGGUAGCUAUGUUCGGAAGGGAUAACCGCUGAAAGCAUCUAAGCGGGAAGCCUCUCCCAAGAUUAGAUCUCCCAUAGACUUCGGUCUACUAAAGAGUCGUCAUAGACUAUGACGUUGAUAGGCAAGAUGUGUAAGCGUUGUGAGGCGUUGAGCUAACUUGUACUAAUAACUCGUGAGGCUUGAUCAU
rnacentral:rRNA from 1 species